CCUGAGUCUACACUGAGUCUCGAGUGGGCGGUGACUGGGCAGCCGGUCCCAAGAUCUUUUCGAGGCUCAAAGUCCCCUCAACUCCUUCGUGUCCGAGUCCGAGCUCUGUCUUGUAUCCGAGAUCUAGUGGGACGUGAGGUAGUUGCACGCCAUUACCUCAGCGCCAGCCGCCUUGCAGCUCCGGAGACCAAGCGGUGAGGCUAAAGAGGCCGAUGCACCUGGCCCUUCCAAGCAGUCCCCCUCACCCUCCAGCCAGAGGACGUCUAGGAGCCUGAAGCCAGCCGAGUUACCCAGGGGACAAGGCUGUGUCCUGAAGGCCGGUGUUGCUGAGGCUCUGCCCUUCGGAAGCUGUGGAACUGACAACUUUGAAGCCCUGAGAGGAUCUGCAAAAUUCUGAUUUAGGACCCAGGAGGCCUUGAACUUGCUCAGAGUUAUAUGCUGUGGACAGUACAUCCUAGAGAAUUUGGUGCUUGCUGUUUUUAGAGGGCUAUUUUCUCCUGGGCCAGCCCCCAGCUAAAACAGGAAGUGAGGAUUUUAAGAGAUGAUCCUAGGAGCUUGAAAUUUAAGCUGACCUCCUCUGUCAUUAGCCACAAAGCUUUAGCCUAAAGUGGUGGCGCAUGUCUUUAAUCCCAGCACUUGAGAGGCAGGUGGAUCUUUGUGAGUUCUGGCCAGCCUGGUCUACAGAUCGGGUUUGUACUGGCUAGUUUUGUGUCAACUUGAGUUGACACAGUCUGGAGUCUGGUGUGGUAGUCUUGGUUCUAUAAGAAAGCAGGCUGAGGGCUGGUGAGAUGGCUCAGUGGGUAAGAGCACCCGACUGCUCUUCCGAAGGUCAGGAGUUCAAAUCCCAGCAACCACAUGGUGGCUCACAACCAUCCGUAACAGGAUCUGACGCCCUCUUCUGUAGUGUCUGAAGACAGCUACAGUGUACUUACAUAUAAUGAAUAAAUAAAUCUUUGAAAAAAAAAAAAGCCAGGGGAAGCAAGCCAGUAAUGAACAUCCCUCCAUGGCCUCUGCAUCAGCUCCUGCUUUCUGACCUGCUUGACUCCCAGUCCUGACUUCCUUUGGUGAUGAACAGCAGUGUGGAAGAGUAAGCCGAAUAAACCCUUUCGUGGCCAUGAGGGUACAGCUUGGUGCAGAUGCCCUCAGAUGCCAGAGUUGGUGAGUUAUCUC
rnacentral:lncRNA from 1 species